rnacentral:lncRNA from 1 species
GUUCAUAACAGUCAUUUGUAAGUAAAUCCAUCUGUAGAUAUUGAGUGGAUACUGAGUGCAGCGCGCGAGGACGGCUCAAUAGAAAGAUGUUUUCUUGCCUUUAUUUCACGCAAACUUAUAACACUUAUCAGUAAUGAGAAGAUUCCUUCGCGUCUCCUGGACCAUGAGGAACCCCAGAGGAACGCUGAUCAACCUCCAACCUCAACUCGCAGUGAUCAACCACUCAAUAAUUGUAUUACUUUGGAUUGUGCCUUGUCAGGAACGGACACAGUGGCUUUUAAGAUCUUCUGGGCUUCUCUGCAAAGCAUCAAGAGAUCAAAGGAGACCACCAAAAGUUCUGUAAAGCAACCCAAACUUACAACUGGUUUUGCAGCAGGAAUGCUUUUGACACCACAUGCUACAGCGGCUACCAAAGCUAACCAACCAACACGUAAUUCUGAGAGUGAAAGAAAAAAAAGACGCUGAUGAUCAGUCUGCCAGUAGCAGAAUUAUCAAAGCAUGAAGGUGGUGGUGGGCCAUUCAUAUGAGGAAGAGAGAGAGAAGAGGCAUCACAAAAUAUCAGAAAACAACUGCACAGCCCACGUGGUGGAUCAUGACAGCAGUCAAGUGAAUAACUCAAGAAGGGGAAGCUUUGCAGAAUAUUGAUUUAAUGCUGCAUUCAUGCAGGGAGGAUGCUCACCCACAUUACGCACGCUCUAAUACUCCCCAGCAUACCUUGGGCCUUUGGUUUUCCGAGCCACUCUGAGAAAAAAGAGGCUGGAACAUUCCUCUCGCAUGAGCAUUUAAGCACAAUUCAGUGUCUCCGAAUCGAAGCGUGAACUGAAUCGAUCAAAAUCCAAAGAAUAGUGUCUCCUGUGGUGAAAUGCCAUGUGAUUAGCGCUCAUUUUGUGGAAAAUAGGGUGUAACUGAGUAAACAAGAUGGCUUUAUGAAGCAUCCCGAUGAAUUGUUGUGCAAUACUGUGUUUAAUGGCAUGUGGAACAUUUAUUAAAUUAAAAUAACUCGGAGUGAAGGAUAUAUGUGAAUGGAAGUGGCUUACAGGUGCACAAACAAACGGGUAUCUUACGAAGAAUGCGUCAGUCUUGAGAAUAAAGGAACACUGAAUAUUAUUUAAAUUGCAUUUAAAGCAAGAUAUUAUAGCCAUCUGAUGCAUUUUUGACCCAUAAAUAAAUAAAUAAUUCAAUAAAGAAAUAAUGAAAUAAAAUGAAAAUUAACCAUUCAGGAUGUGUUACAACGAAAUGACCAUAAGGUGAUUUACUUUUUUC